rnacentral:tRNA from 1 species
GGGCUGGUGAUGUAAAGGCCGCAUAGAAGUCCCGCAAACUUCUCGUGAGGGUUCGAGUCCCUCCCAGUCCA